AGUCUGCAACCCGACUACACGAAGCCGGAAUCGCUAGUAAUCGCGGAUCAGAAUGCCGCGGUGAAUACGUUCCCGGGUCUUGUACACACCGCCCGUCACACCAUGGGAGUCGGAAAUGCCCGAAGCCGGUGACCCAACCCGAAAGGGAGGGAGCCGUCGAAGGCAGGUCGGAUGACUGGGGUGAAGUCGUAACAAGGUACC
rnacentral:rRNA from 1 species